GGGGAUGUAGCUCAGUUGGGAGAGCGCCACGUUCGCAACGUGGAGGCCGGGGGUUCGAGUCCCCCCAUCUCCACCA
rnacentral:tRNA from 1 species